rnacentral:rRNA from 1 species
GUCGAGCGGGCCCUUCGGGGUCAGCGGCGGACGGGUGAGUAACGCGUGGGAACGUGCCUUCUGGUUCGGAAUAACCCUGGGAAACUAGGGCUAAUACCGGAUACGCCCUUAUGGGGAAAGGUUUACUGCCGGAAGAUCGGCCCGCGUCUGAUUAGCUAGUUGGUGGGGUAACGGCCUACCAAGGCGACGAUCAGUAGCUGGUCUGAGAGGAUGAUCAGCCACACUGGGACUGAGACACGGCCCAGACUCCUACGGGAGGCAGCAGUGGGGAAUAUUGGACAAUGGGCGCAAGCCUGAUCCAGCCAUGCCGCGUGAGUGAUGAAGGCCUUAGGGUUGUAAAGCUCUUUUAUCCGGGACGAUAAUGACGGUACCGGAGGAAUAAGCCCCGGCUAACUUCGUGCCAGCAGCCGCGGUAAUACGAAGGGGGCUAGCGUUGCUCGGAAUCACUGGGCGUAAAGGGCGCGUAGGCGGCGUUUUAAGUCGGGGGUGAAAGCCUGUGGCUCAACCACAGAAUGGCCUUCGAUACUGGGACGCUUGAGUAUGGUAGAGGUUGGUGGAACUGCGAGUGUAGAGGUGAAAUUCGUAGAUAUUCGCAAGAACACCGGUGGCGAAGGCGGCCAACUGGACCAUUACUGACGCUGAGGGCGCGAAAGCGUGGGGGAGCAAACAGGGAUUAGAUACCCUGGUAGUCCACGCCGUAAACGAUGAAAUGCCAGCUGUUGGGGUGCUUGCACCGCAGUAGCGCAUCUAACGCUUUGAGCAUUCCGCCUGGGGAGCCGGGGCUUAUUCCU